rnacentral:rRNA from 1 species
UACGGGGGGGGCAAGCGUUGUUCGGAAUUACUGGGCGUAAAGGGGCUCGUAGGCGGCCAACUAAGUCGGAUGUGAAAUCCCCAGCUUAACCUGGGAACUGCAUCCGAUACUGGAUGGCUUGAAUCCGGGAGAGGGAUGCGGAAUUCCAGGUGUAGCGGUGAAAUGCGUAGAUAUCUGGAGGAACACCGGUGGCGAAGGCGGCAUCCCUGGACCGGCAUUGACGCUGAGGAGCGAAAGCCAGGGGAGCAAACGGG